rnacentral:rRNA from 1 species
GAGGUGUCUGGUUAAGUCCAGGAACGAGCGAGACCCUCACCCUUAGUUGCCACCGCGCAAGCGGGCACACUAGGGGGACCGCCACCGUUAAGGUGGAGGAAGGAGGGGGCAACGGCAGGUCAGCAUGCCCCGAAUCACCUGGGCCGCACGCGGGCUGCAAUGGUGGAGACAAUGGGAUCCGAACCCCAAAGGGGGAGG